UGGAUGAGGUAGGCGGAAUGUGUAGUGUAGCGGUGAAAUGCUUAGAUAUUACACAGAACACCGAUUGCGAAGGCAGCUUACUAAUCCAUCAUUGACGCUGAGGCACGAAAGCGUGGGGAUCAAACAGGAUUAGAUACCCUGGUAGUCCACGCUGUAAACGAUGAUCACUCGCUGUUUGCGAUAUACAGUAAGCGGCUAAGCGAAAGCGUUAAGUGAUCCACCUGGGGAGUACGAUCGCAAGGUUGAAACUC
rnacentral:rRNA from 1 species